AGUCGAGCGACGCUCUCCCUUCGGGGGGAUGACGGAGCGGCGAACGGGUGAGUAACACGUGGGCAACCUGCCCCUAGCUCUGGGACAACUCCUCGAAAGAGGGGCUAAUACCGGAUAUGACCAUCAGGUGCAUGUUUGAUGGUGGAAAGUUUUUCGGCUAGGGAUGGGCCCGCGGCCUAUCAGCUUGUUGGUGGGGUAAUGGCCCACCAAGGCGACGACGGGUAGCCGGCCUGAGAGGGCGAUCGGCCACACUGGGACUGAGACACGGCCCAGACUCCUACGGGAGGCAGCAGUGGGGAAUAUUGCGCAAUGGGCGAAAGCCUGACGCAGCGACGCCGCGUGAGGGAUGAAGGCCUUCGGGUUGUAAACCUCUUUCAGCAGGGACGAAGCGCAAGUGACGGUACCUGCAGAAGAAGCACCGGCCAACUACGUGCCAGCAGCCGCGGUAAUACGUAGGGUGCAAGCGUUGUCCGGAAUUAUUGGGCGUAAAGAGCUCGUAGGCGGUUUGUCGCGUCGGUGGUGAAAUCUCGGGGCUCAACCCCGAGCCUGCCAUCGAUACGGGCAGACUAGAGUGCUGUAGGGGAGACUGGAAUUCCUGGUGUAGCGGUGAAAUGCGCAGAUAUCAGGAGGAACACCGGUGGCGAAGGCGGGUCUCUGGGCAGUAACUGACGCUGAGGAGCGAAAGCGUGGGGAGCAAACA
rnacentral:rRNA from 1 species